ACCAGGCACGGUGGUGCAUGCCUGUAAUCCCAGCUGCUUGGGAGGCUGAGGCAGGAGGAUCUUGAGUUCAAAGCCAGCCUCAGCAAAAAUGAGGUGCUAAGCAAUUUAGUGAGAUCCUAUCUCAA
rnacentral:sRNA from 1 species